UACAGAGGGGGCAAGCGUUGUUCGGAAUUACUGGGCGUAAAGGGCGCGUAGGCGGCCGUCUAAGUCAGACGUGAAAUCCCUCGGCUCAACCGGGGAACUGCGUCUGAGACUGAAUGGCUUGAAUUCGGGAGAGGGAUGUGGAAUUCCAGGUGUAGCGGUGAAAUGCGUAGAUAUCUGGAGGAACACCGGUGGCGAAGGCGACGUCCUGGACCGGCAUUGACGCUGAGGCGCGAAAGCCAGGGGAGCAAACGGG
rnacentral:rRNA from 1 species